rnacentral:rRNA from 1 species
CACGUAGGGGGCAAGCGUUUGUCCGGAUUUAUUGGGCGUAAAGAGCUCGUAGGCGGCUCUGUAAGUCGGGUGUGAAACCUCCAGGCUCAACCUGGAGACGCCACCCGAUACUGCUGUGGCUUGAGUCCGGUAGGGGAGCGUGGAAUUCCUGGUGUAGCGGUGAAAUGCGCAGAUAUCAGGAGGAACACCAGCGGCGAAGGCGGCGCUCUGGGCCGGAACUGACGCUGAGGAGCGAAAGCAUGGGUAGCGAACAGG